rnacentral:rRNA from 1 species
AGUGAACGCUGGCGGUAGGCCUAACACAUGCAAGUCGAACGGCAGCACAGUAAGAGCUUGCUCUUACGGGUGGCGAGUGGCGGACGGGUGAGGAAUACAUCGGAAUCUACUUUUUCGUGGGGGAUAACGUAGGGAAACUUACGCUAAUACCGCAUACGACCUACGGGUGAAAGCAGGGGAUCUUCGGACCUUGCGCGAUUGAAUGAGCCGAUGUCGGAUUAGCUAGUUGGCGGGGUAAAGGCCCACCAAGGCGACGAUCCGUAGCUGGUCUGAGAGGAUGAUCAGCCACACUGGAACUGAGACACUGUCCAGACUCCUACGGGAGGCAGCAGUGGGGAAUAUUGGACAAUGGGCGCAAGCCUGAUCCAGCCAUACCGCGUGGGUGAAGAAGGCCUUCGGGUUGUAAAGCCCUUUUGUUGGGAAAGAAAAGCAGCAGGUUAACACCCCGCUGUUCUGACGGUACCCAAAGAAUAAGCACCGGCUAACUUCGUG